UAGAAACGACCCAAACCCCGUGGGACCAGCACCCUCGUUUCUUCCCCGUUUCUUUCCCCUCCCUUACGGAUCUGCUGCGCCGCCGCCGCCGCCUCCGCUUCGCCCCACCGCCGAGCGCGCCUGCGCCAAACCUGCGCGCGCCCUGCAGCCCCAUCCCGCGCGCGCCAUGCAUCUUUCCCGCGCACGCCCAGCCUCCUCCCGUGCGCGCCCGGAGCCUUCCCGCGCGCCCCCUGCAGACCCUCCCUCCCUACAGCCAAUAUCCUAGCCGGAUUGAUGCUCUCCUCUACAAAUCCAUCUUCCCCCAUCUCAUAUCGCUGCCAAGUUCCAGCCAUGACCUAGUUUAGCCAAAUCAAUCCCGAAUCCAUCUCCAAGGGAGGCAGGUCGAGGAUGGAUCGAUCGGAGAAGCAAGGCGUGCAGAAAAAGAAAUUGAGGAAGAGCUCAUCGAAUUUGAGUUCUAGGAGAGGCACUGGUAUUUCUGCUUCUCUUGGCACGACGAUUCCCGCUGAUGGAUCAGGAAGUGCUUCUGCAAGCACUGGGGCUCCUGCCGGCAGCCCAGGCAUUGGUGGUGGAACCGGCCCGCAUCCAGGCUAUAUCCAGAAGGUGGAUUUGUCAACUCUUUACAGAACGCAUUACAGAUGCCGCAAACUAGUCAUAUGUUUCCCCAUACAUAUCCAGUUAGUUAUCCCAAUGCAAGUAAUCUUCCAGAGAAUCUCCAUUUUGUUGGAGCUUCAAGUAGAGGGACCCCAUCACCAAACGCAAGUGGCUUAGCAAUGGGGACUGCAGAUGCACAAAAUGGGUCACAAGAAGAAACAAUUGACAUUGAUGUCGAUGACACCCUCGAGCCUACUAGGACCGACAAGCGACUGAACUGGUCGCAUGAAGAAGACAUUAGAUUGGUCAGUGCUUGGUUGCAAAAUUCAUUGGACCCAGUUGAUGGAAAUGGCAAGAAGUCUGAUCAGUAUUGGGCAGAUGUUACUAAUAUGUACAACAGCACCACAACAAGUAAUCGUAGGAGGAACCGUAACCAAUUGAAAAUCCGUUGGGAUCGUAUCAAGAAACCAGUCAGUGAGUUCCAUAGUUGCUGGAUAAUGACCAAUAGGGUGUACCAAAGUGGAAUGAGCGAUGACCAAAGGACAGAUAAAGCACUUCAGAUGUAUGCAUCUGAGCAUGAUGACAAGCCUUUCUUACUGCAACAUAUAUGGAGGGUAGUAAAAAAUGAAAGAAAGUGGGCUGCAUAUGUGAAGAGAAUUGACAAGGAAAAAAGUCCAGUGUCUAAUCCAGCUCAUGCCGACAAUGUUGAAGAUUCUCCAAAAAAGCGUCCUAUUGGAACUAAGCAAGCCAAAGCUGUGCGAGAUGGCAAACGGAAGCCAGAGGUUAUUUCUGCUAUAGGAGAAAAACUAGAUAAAUUCAUUGAUGUAAGCAACAAGGCUAAGAAGAUGGCUGAGGUGCAGCAAAGUUUGGCAAAUAAGAAGCUUGAAGUAGACCAGCUUAAUCAUAAAGCAGCCCAGGAACAAACAAGGGGUAAAAUGGUAGACCUUUACAGAGACUUGUUCUGUGCUUCAACUAGUGAUAUGAGUGAAGAAGCUAAAGCUGAGAGAUACAAAGCAUUGGAGUGUAUGAAAUUGGCUCUUUUUACUAUUGAAAAUUGAGGUAUGGUACACUUGUUUCUACCGUGUGAAUACAUUUUCAUUUUUAAUGCUAGCUGCAAGUCUGAACACACUCACUUGUGUGAACUCAAUCUGUUUUUUUAAUGCUAGCUGCAAGUUCGAACACACUCACUUGUGUGAACUCAAUCUGUUUUUUAAUGCUAGCUGCAAGUUUGAACACACUCACUUGUGUGAACUCAUUUUAUUUUGUUAAUGGUAGCUGUAAGUCUGAAAACACUCACUUGUGUGAACUCAAUUUAUUUUUUUAAUGAUAGCUGCAAGUCUGAACACACACUCUUGUGUGAACUCAAUUUAUUUAUGUAUAUAUAUCCCCCAGCAGGACACUCUUCUCUCUUCCCCUGCGCACACUCUCCUCUCUUCCCCUGCGCACUCUCUUUUCUCUCUUCCCCUGUGCACUCUCUCUUCUCCCUUCCCCUACGCACUAUGUCCCACCACCAAUCAGCUGACAUCCCCCUGGGCAAGAUGAUUCAUUGGAUGAGGUGAGCAGCAUAGAUCCAAUGGACCUAUAUCCAUUGGACGAGGUGAGCGGCCUGCUGGGUGAUAUUGCUGAUUACAUUGUUGAUGAAUUGAAGUCUGAUGUUCAAGAUAUGGGACGUGCAAGGUAGAGUGGUCCAAGAAAGUUUGUUGACAGGCCUUAUGAAGAAUCUGAACAGGGGCUGAUGAAUGAUUACUUUUUAGAUGAGCCAGUCUAUGAUGACACAAUCUUUCGCAGAAGAUUUAGGAUGAGAAGGCCCCUGUUCUUAAGCAUUGUUGAAGCCCUAGGCAUGUGGAAUAAAUAUUGUACGUUGAGAAUGGAUGCACUUAAUCGGCCUGGGUUAUCUCCACUCAAGAAAUGCACUGCUGCUAUUCGGCAAUUGGGAACUGGCUGCCCUGCAGACCAACUUGAUGAGUACCUAAAGAUUGGAGAAAGUACUGGAGUGGAGUGCUUGAAGAUGUUUGUGAAGGGUGUGAUUGAGGUGUAUGGUCAAAAGUAUCUGCGACGCCCCCCUGUACAAGAUGUGGAAUGCUUAGUGCAAAUUGGUGAGCGUCGUGGGUUCCCUGGCAUGUUAGGGAGUAUUGUCUGCAUGCAUUGGCAUUGGGAAAAAUGCCCGGUUGCAUGGAAGGGAAUGUAUACUCGUGGUGAUCAUGGUGUUCCUACAAUCAUUCUAGAAGCAGUAGCUUCACAUGAUCGUUGGAUAUGGCAUGCCUUUUUUGGUGUUGCUGGAUCAAACAACGAUAUCAAUGUGCUUAACCAAUCACCUCUGUUCAUCCAACAGUUGAGAGGGGAAAGUCCUCAGGUGCAGUUCCAUGUCAAUGGAAGGCAGUACAACAAUGGUUACUACCUUGCAGAUGGUAUAUACCCAGAAUGGGCUGCCUUUUGUUAAGUCAAUACGUCUACCACAAUCGGAAAAGCACAAAUUAUUUGCGGCACGUCAAGAAGGGGAAAGGAAAGAUGUUGAAUGUGCUUUCGAUAUUUUGCAAUCUCGCUUUAGAAUUUUGAAACAACCUUCACAUCUAUAUGAUCAAGGGGAUCUUGAGAAUAUCAUGCUAGCUUGUAUCAUCCUUCACAACAUGAUAAUCGAAGAUGAAAAAGAUAUAGAGCAGAUUCCUUUUGAUUUGAACGAGGCACCAAGUACAUCAACAGUUCGAGAAGCUACAAUUUCUCAAGCUGAUGCUAUGCCAGAGAUGGAACAAGUGAUACAAAGAAAUGCCACUAUUCGUGAUAGAACUACUCAUAGACAACUGCAGUCAAACUUAAUUGAGCAUAUCUGGCAAAAGUUUGGCAAUUCAAAUAACUAGCAUGCGGAAUUGAUGUGAGGUUGUCGUGCACUGGAGGCUCUAAAUGAUGGCGAGUUGUUGUGCACCUAGAGGCUGGAGUGUUGUUCUUGCAAAUGGAUGCUUACCUGGAGGCUGGAGUCGUCCAUCUAAAUAUUAUCUAUAUAUCGCUAUGCAUUCUUAUUGUAUUGCUACCUGAAUAUUGCUUACAAUUUUAUCGUACUGCUGCCUAAAUAUUGCCUGUUGGGAUUGUAUUGCUGUGGCUGCACCCUGUCAGUCUCAUGCUAGUUACGGAGAUGCUAUCUUUGUUUGAAUUAUUAUUUAAAUAUCUAUGCUUUGUUUGAACA